GCCGUGGUGGUUCAGUGGUAGAAUCCUCACUUUCUGUGUGGGAGACAGGGGUUCGAUUCCUGACCAAUGCA
rnacentral:tRNA from 1 species